GAGAGACCCGUGCACAUUGACUCACACC
rnacentral:piRNA from 1 species